rnacentral:rRNA from 1 species
GGGUAAUUGGGGCGGCUACCAUGCAGUCGAGCGGAACGAGUUAUCUGAACCUUCGGGGAACGAUAACGGCGUCGAGCGGCGGACGGGUGAGUAAUGCCUAGGAAAUUGCCCUGAUGUGGGGGAUAACCAUUGGAAACGAUGGCUAAUACCGCAUAAUGCCUACGGGCCAAAGAGGGGGACCUUCGGGCCUCUCGCGUCAGGAUAUGCCUAGGUGGGAUUAGCUAGUUGGUGAGGUAAGGGCUCACCAAGGCGACGAUCCCUAGCUGGUCUGAGAGGAUGAUCAGCCACACUGGAACUGAGACACGGUCCAGACUCCUACGGGAGGCAGCAGUGGGGAAUAUUGCACAAUGGGCGCAAGCCUGAUGCAGCCAUGCCGCGUGUGUGAAGAAGGCCUUCGGGUUGUAAAGCACUUUCAGUCGUGAGGAAGGUAGUGUAGUUAAUAGCUGCAUUAUUUGACGUUAGCGACAGAAGAAGCACCGGCUAACUCCGUGCCAGCAGCCGCGGUAAUACGGAGGGUGCGAGCGUUAAUCGGAAUUACUGGGCGUAAAGCGCAUGCAGGUGGUUUGUUAAGUCAGAUGUGAAAGCCCGGGGCUCAACCUCGGAAUUGCAUUUGAAACUGGCAGACUAGAGUACUGUAGAGGGGGGUAGAAUUUCAGGUGUAGCGGUGAAAUGCGUAGAGAUCUGAAGGAAUACCGGUGGCGAAGGCGGCCCCCUGGACAGAUACUGACACUCAGAUGCGAAAGCGUGGGGAGCAAACAGGAUUAGAUACCCUGGUAGUCCACGCCGUAAACGAUGUCUACUUGGAGGUUGUGGCCUUGAGCCGUGGCUUUCGGAGCUAACGCGUUAAGUAGACCGCCUGGGGAGUACGGUCGCAAGAUUAAAACUCAAAUGAAUUGACGGGGGCCCGCACAAGCGGUGGAGCAUGUGGUUUAAUUCGAUGCAACGCGAAAAAACCUUACCUACUCUUGACAUCCAGAGAACUUUUCCAAAGAUGGAUUGGUGCCCUUCGGGAACUCUGAAACAGGUGCUGCAUGGCUGUCGUCAGCUCGGGUGGGGAAAGUUGGGGUUAAGUCCCGAA